rnacentral:lncRNA from 1 species
CCGGGUCAAAUCAUUCACGACUGUAGCCCACAUAGUGGAGAUGCAUUUUACAGCCAUUUGUUUAAGUGGGUCAGGUCCCUUCUGUGCCCAAGCCAUAGUCCACGCAGGAUGGUGUACACACAUCUGGACGGAGUCACUUCUCUGGUCUCCUUCACCUGUCCCCAGGACUCCAGGGCCAGCUGCUCCGGGUCCCUGCCAGGAUGGUCAUCGGAGAGCUCAGUGUGCUCUACUGUCCCAUGGAUCACUCCAAGCUGUCACUGACCUCCAGGAAGGAAGAACGAAGGGUUCCAUGCGGCGUCUCCAUGCAGGUCGUGACAGUGGGGCCCGUGGUUGAAUGGCAUCCAGUUGAGUUCCUGAUCUCUCUUGGGUGGGCUCCUGGCUCUGGAUGGCUGCGGAUCAUCAGGCAGCUGCUCAUCAGUCUGGCUGGAUGAGAACGUGAUGUGUAUCAGUCAGGAUGUAGUUGGUGGUCAGCAAAAGCUCAACUCAACUAGCUUAACCCUAAAGAAGAUUAGUUUGUCCCAUG